GAUCUGGCUCAGAACGAACGCUGGCGGCGCGUCUUAAGCAUGCAAGUCGAACGGCAAGAGGUAGCAAUACCUCCUAGAGUGGCGGACUGGUGAGUAACACGUGGGUGACAUACCCUUCAGAUGGGGAUAGCUAUUAGAAAUAGUAGAUAAUACCGAAUACGAGCACAGGGGUUAGAGAUCUGUGAGGAAAGGAGCUAAGGCUCCGCUGAAGGAAUGGCCUGCGGCCCAUUAGCUAGUUGGUGAGGUAAGAGCCCACCAAGGCGAUGAUGGGUAUCCGGCCUUAGAGGGUGAACGGACACAUUGGGACUGAGAUACGGCCCAGACUCCUACGGGAGGCAGCAGCUAGGAAUAUUGGUCAAUGGGCGGGAGCCUGAACCAGCCAAGUCGCGUGAAGGAAAAGAAGGAUCUAUGGUUCGUAAACUUCUUUUGCAGGGGAAUAAAGUGCAGGACGUGUCCUGUUUUGUAUGUACCCUGAGAAUAAGGAUCGGCUAACUCCGUGCCAGCAGCAGC
rnacentral:rRNA from 1 species